AGCAGCCGCGGUAAUUCCAGCUCCAAUAGCGUAUAUUAAAGUUGUUGCAGUUAAAAAGCUCGUAGUUGAAUUUCGGAGUUCUACCGUCGGUCGGGCUACCAAGUCUGUACUGGUGUGUAGAAUUCCUACCUUCUGGGGAACUAUCAUGUUAUUAAUUUAGCGUGGUGGGAAACCAGGACCUUUACCUUGAAAAAAUUAGAGUGUUCAAAGCAGGCUUAUGUCUGAAUACAUUAGCAUGGAAUAAUAGAAUAGGACGGUGGUCCUGUUUGUUGGUUUCUGAAUCACCGUAAUGAUUAAUAGGGAUAGUUGGGGGCAUUAGUAUUCAAUUGUCAGAGGUGAAAUUCUUGGAUUUAUUGAAGACUAACUUCUGCGAAAGCAUUUGCCAAGGAUGUUUUCAUUAAUCAAGAACGAAAGUUAGGGGAUCGAAGACGAUCAGAUACCGUCGUAGUCUUAAUCAUAAACUAUGCCGACUAGGGAUCGGACGAUGUUAAAUUUUAUUGACUCGUUUCGGCGCCUUUAC
rnacentral:rRNA from 1 species